rnacentral:rRNA from 1 species
GACGAACGCUGGCGGCGUGCCUAAUACAUGCAAGUCGAACGAGCGGCGGACGGGUGAGUAAUGUCUAGGAAACUGCCUGGUGGAGGGGGAUAACUACUGGAAACGGUAGCUACUACCGCAUACCAUCAGAUGUGCCCAGAUGGGAUUAGCUAGUAGGGGGGGUAACGGCUCACCUAGGCGACGAUCCCUAGCUGGUCUGAGAGGAUGACCAGCCAAACUGGAACGGAGACACGGUCCAGACUCCUACGGGAGGCAGCAGUGGGGAAUAUUGCACAAUGGGCGCAAGCCUGAUGCAGCCAUGCCGCGUGUGUGAAGAAGGCCUUCGGGUUGUAAAGCACUUUCAGCGGGGAGGCGUUACCCGCAGAAGAAGCACCGGCUAACUCCGUGCCAGCAGCCGCGGUAAUUC